rnacentral:rRNA from 1 species
GACGAACGCUGGCGGCGUGCCUAAUACAUGCAAGUCGAACGGUCUUUUCUAUGGAAGCUUGCUUCCACUGAGAAGAUAGUGGCGAACGGGUGAGUAACACGUGGGUAACCUGCCCAUAAGAGGGGGAUAACAUCCGGAAACGGGUGCUAAUACCGCAUAGUUUUUCUGAUCGCAUGAUCGGGAAAGGAAAGACGGCCUUUGUGCUGUCGCUUAUGGAUGGCCCCGCGGCGUAUUAGUUAGUUGGUGAGGUAACGGCUCACCAAGACGAUGAUACGUAGCCGACCUGAGAGGGUGAUCGGCCACAUUGGGACUGAGACACGGCCCAAACUCCUACGGGAGGCAGCAGUAGGGAAUCUUCCGCAAUGGACGAAAGUCUGACGGAGCAACGCCGCGUGAGUGAAGAAGGUUUUCGGAUCGUAAAACUCUGUUGUCAGAGAAGAACAAGUCGGAGAGUAACUGCUCCGGCCUUGACGGUAUCUGACCAGAAAGCCACGGCUAACUACGUGCCAGCAGCCGCAGUAAAAC